CACGGGGGGAGCAAGCGUUGUUCGGAAUCACUGGGCGUAAAGGGCGUGUAGGCGGUUGGGUAAGUGGAAUGUGAAAUGCCCCGGCUCACCCGGGGACCGGCAUUCCAAACUGCUCAGCUCGAGUAUGGGAGAGGAUGAGGGAAUUCCUGGUGUAGCGGUGAAAUGCGUAGAUAUCAGGAGGAACACCGGUGGCGAAAGCGCUCAUCUGGCCCAAUACUGACGCUGAGGCGCGAAAGCUAGGGGAGCAAACAGG
rnacentral:rRNA from 1 species